rnacentral:rRNA from 1 species
ACUCAAAGGAAUAGACGGGGACCCGCACAAGCGGUGGAGCAUGUGGUUUAAUUCGAAGCAACGCGAAGAACCUUACCAGGUCUUGACAUGCCUUUGACAGGUGUAGAGAUACACUUUCUCUUCGGAGCAGAGGACACAGGUGGUGCAUGGUUGUCGUCAGCUCGUGUCGUGAGAUGUUGGGUUAAGUCCCGCAACGAGCGCAACCCUUAUCGUUAGUUGCCAUCAUUCAGUUGGGCACUCUAGCGAGACAGCCGUAGAUAAUACGGAGGAAGAUGGGGAUGACGUCAAAUCAUCAUGCCCCUUAUGACCUGGGCUACACACGUGCUACAAUGGAACAUACAACGAGGUGCGACUUGGUGACAAGAAGCUAAUCUCUUAAAAUGUUUCUCAGUUCGGAUUGGAGGCUGCAACUCGCCUCCAUGAAGUCGGAAUCGCUAGUAAUCGCGGAUCAGCACGCCGCGGUGAAUACGUUCCCGGGUCUUGUACACACCGCCCGU